AUACCCGCCCUUGGCAGCCUUGUGCUCCCAAAGUUUGUCGCGAGAUCACGUCUCUGAAGGAGAUUGUGGGAGGGGCUAAGGGCUGGUUGAAUGAACUCCUCAUCAGUGCUGUGUGCUGGAGAGGACAAACAGGACCCUGUCUAAUGGAGCUUCGAUUUUUGCGAGGAGGGAGACAUAGAGCUGGCACAUGCAAAUUUCUGCUUGUGAGGUAAUUUGAAGGAAAUCCUUGAAACAUCCUGAGUGCCAAGUGAGUAUUAAAUUCUACUUCCUCGUUCCCCCAAGAAAACAGCAACCUCAGAAUUAUGUCAGACCUAUCAGCAGAAUCCAGAAAUGUCUACUGGGCCUGACAAUUUAAGAGUGAUUGUGAGAAAGUGUCCAAGAGACAGCAGGGAGGAUUAUACAGCGGAGACCACCUCUCAGAUGAGAGAUUUAGAAAAGCCACCACCCACCUUUGCCCUUGGGUUGUUCAGCUGGGCACAGAGGAACAAGGAGCAUUUUAAUUUACACUCAGAGAUACAGCUCAGUGAGCUGAGGUACAGAGCACAGCAGAUGAGCUACAGUUGUUGUCCACCUAGAGGCAAAGCGGGGCUUAUGCCCUCAAGGUCUUUCCCAUCUGGUUCUCCACCCUGUAACCUGGUUUGGACACUGAACCAUAAAUAGCUGCUGUAUCUGUGAGAAAUUUCUGGAAGGUCUUUUCCCAACUGAUGAACAAGUAUUCAGAUGCCUUCGUGCUGAAGAAUGGUGAACUGGGAACUCCAGAGCCCUGAGGAGCCAGCUGGUCCUCUUGGUGCUUUAGUAUAUCUUCUGUUAUAUGUGACAUUAGCAGCUUGUGGCAGCAAGCAGUGCUUACCUGGGACUUACUAUGUGACAGAUACUGCAAACAUACUACUCCCAGCAAUGGAGGUAAUACUGAGGUAGGUGCUGCCAUCUCUGUGUUACUGAGGAGGAAGUGAGUCACUGUGCUGGUGAUACAGUGCUGGGGUCUGGAUCCAGGCACGGAGCACAGUGCCACCUCACUAACUACUAUGUUAUACUAUCUCUUAAAGAUGAUGUGACCAUGACAUGUUAUGACAUUGUGGCCUAUGCAAGUGCUGUCCCUCACAGUCUUUUUAGCUCGUGACUCGACCUGUUCUUCUCUGAGACCCUUAUUUUCUCCACUGGCAAGGAUGUAGUAGUUGACAUCAGAACAAAUCGCCUUUGAGGCUUGUGUAUGGGAUCUGUGGUUUAAAAGUCUCCCCAAAACUCAUGUUGCAAUUUAAUUGCUGCUGUAACAAUAUUAAGAGUUGGGACCUGCCCAGGUGCAAUCGUACACAUCUGGAAUCCCAGCUACUUGGAAGACUGAAGCAGGAGUAUCAUAAGUUUGAGGUCAUCCUGGGCAAUGUAGGGGGACUCUGAAAAAAAGGGAGGCUGGAGAUUUAGCUCAUGGGUGCAUCAUCCCUGGGUUUGAUCCUCAAUUCACAGUGGGGAAAAGGAGGUGAGGCGAUUGGGCUAUGGGAGCUCUGCAUUUCUGAAUGGAUUUAUAUCAUUAUCUCCGGAGUGGGCUGGUUAUGAAAGCAGGUCUGGCAUAAGGGUAGUCCCUUCUUUCCCUCUCUGUUUGUUCAAUGCUCAUUUGUCCUUCUUUGAUGGCAUAAAGGCUCUUGAUAAAUUCUGUGCCACACUAUUGGUCUUUCUGGUCUCCAGAAUCAACUGUGUAGACUGAACUAUCAGUUUCUGCUACUUACAGAGGAAUAGUGCUGUUCUGGCCUGUGGUGUUCUAUUACAGCUGGUGUAAACAGACUAAGACAGUGGGUCUCUAGAAUGUGUGUUGAGUGGGGAUUAAGGGCUUGAAACAAAGACAGAGGAUGUCCAAGAUCAUCCAAGGACUCAGAAAUAAAACCCAACUCCUGACCAGUUGUGUGCUAUGAGCAUUUAUUCAUCUGUUCACCCCAGCCCCUCCCAGCUACCCUUCGGGAGCAGCCUGAUGCAGUGACAUGGGGUGGUGGCCUGCUGGCCUCUUUCUUCUGCUGCCUCCUCCUCAGGAUGUGACCCGGGCCCUGGAACCUAAGGAAGAAGAUCUGAAGGGGCAGCAGUCAUGGAGCCGUGUGAUGGUGUGGAUGGAUGAUGCUCUCCAUGCACCCGAGGCUGAUCUGCCAGGAAGUAGAGGAAGCCACCCAGGGCUGCGACUGCUGUGGCAGUGCUGUGGCUGGAACAGCCAUCUGGAGCGGGGAGAGAGCACCUGAUGAGUGCUGACUUGGCAACUGCAGCCUCUUCUUCAAAACAACUCAUGCCAUCCAUUGUAAAGAAAAUGCUUUUCCAGUGUCACUAGGGUAACCUUCCCAGUGCCAUGUGGGUGAUUGGUGUCCUGUAUGGACCCAUUUUAUUGUAAACUCAUUUCCUAAAAUGUGUUGGACACUUGUUCUGUGAACUGGCUGUUCCACUACUCUCUCUGCUUUUACAAUGUGCUUAUUUACUUUUUAUUAACAAAAAAUGGAAACCAGA